AGCCCAAACCAGAAACUUGUUUCUGGGGUUGUGGAUAGAUCAUGAAAGAAGAGGUAUCUUAAUCGAAGAGGGCUGGAACGCCCUACCAUAGAAGGUAAUAGUCCUGUAGGUAAAAAGAGAAAACUUCGAGAUCUAAUCCAGAGUACCACGAGACACGUGAAACCUUGUGGGAAGCAGGGAGGACCACCUCCCAAGGCUAAAUACUACCUAGUGACCGAUAGUGAAGCAGUACCGUGA
rnacentral:rRNA from 1 species